rnacentral:ncRNA from 1 species
CUUGGGGGUGCCUGAAAGCCUUGGAAAUACUGGCUUCCGGCUGAGAAAUACCCUUAUGACCUGUACGGGUAAUGCCGUCGUAGGGAAAG